UACCAGCACCCCGAGUGGUCGGGACGAUUAUUGGGCCUAAAGCAUCCGUAGCCGGCCUUACAAGUCCUCCGUUAAAUCCAGCUGCUUAACAGAUGGGCUGCGGAGGAUACUAUAAGACUAGGAGGCAGGAGAGGCAAGCGGUACUCAGUGGGUAGGGGUAAAAUCCGUUGAAUCCAUUGAAGACCACCAGUGGCGAAGGCGGCUUGCCAGAAUGCGCUCGACGGUGAGGGAUGAAAGCUGGGGGAGCA
rnacentral:rRNA from 1 species